rnacentral:rRNA from 1 species
CCUACGGGAGGCAGCAGUGAGGAAUAUUGCGCAAUGGGCGAAAGCCUGACGCAGCGACGCCGCGUGAGGGAUGAAGGUCUUCGGAUCGUAAACCUCUGUCAGUCGGGAAGAAUGGUCACUGUGCUAAUCCGCAGUGAAUUGACGGUACCUGAAAAGGAAGCACAGGCUAACUCCGUGCCAGCAGCCGCGGUAAUACUGAGGGUGCUAGCGUUAAUCGGAAUUACUGGGCGUAAAGCGCUCGUAGGCGGUAUGUCAAGUCAAGGGGGAAAUCCCCGGCUUCAACGUGGGAACUGCCUGUGAAACUGGCAAACUGGAGUGUGUGAGAGGAUAGUGGAAUGUCAGGUGUAGGAGUGAAAUGCGUAGAUAUCU